rnacentral:rRNA from 1 species
GGUUAAGUGACUAAGCGUACACGGUGGAUGCCUUGGCAGUCAGAGGCGAUGAAGGACGUAGUAACUUGCGAUAAGCGUAGAUGAGGCAGUAACAGCCACUUGAGUCUACGAUUUCCGAAUGGGGAAACCCACUGGCAUAAGCCAGUAUCAUUGAGUGAAUACAUAGCUCAAUGAAGCGAACCGGGAGAACUGAAACAUCUAAGUACCCCGAGGAAAAGAAAUCAACCGAGAUUCCGAAAGUAGCGGCGAGCGAAAUUGGAUUAGCCCUUAAGCUUUACAUGUGUUAGACGAACGGUCUGGAAAGUCCGACGAUACAGGG